rnacentral:piRNA from 1 species
UACAGUGUGGUCUGAAUAUCCGC